rnacentral:rRNA from 1 species
GACGAACGCUGGCGGCGUGCCUAAUACAUGCAAGUCGAGCGAAGUUUUUCUGGUGCUUGCACUAGAAAAACUUAGCGGCGAACGGGUGAGUAACACGUAAAGAACCUGCCUCAUAGACGGGGACAACUAUUGGAAACGAUAGCUAAUACCGGAUAACAGCAUAAAUCGCAUGAUAUAUGUUUAAAAGUUGGUUUCGGCUAACACUAUGAGAUGGCUUUGCGGUGCAUUAGCUAGUUGGUGGGGUAAAGGCCUACCAAGGCGACGAUGCAUAGCCGACCUGAGAGGGUGAUCGGCCACACUGGGACUGAGACACGGCCCAGACUCCUACGGGAGGCAGCAGUAGGGAAUCUUCCGCAAUGGGCGAAAGCCUGACGGAGCAACGCCGCGUGAGUGAAGAAGGAUUUCGGUUCGUAAAGCUCUGUUGUUAGGGAAGAAUGAUUGUAUAGUAACUAUAUACGGUAGAGACGGUACCUAACCAGAAAGCCACGGCUAACUACGUGCCAGCAGCCGCGGUAAUACGUAGGUGGCAAGCGUUGUCCGGAAUUAUUGGGCGUAAAGCGCGCGCAGGUGGUUUAAUAAGUCUGAUGUGAAAGCCCACGGCUCAACCGUGGAGGGUCAUUUGGAAACUGUUAAACUUGAGUGCAGGAGAGAAAAGUGGAAUUCCUAGUGGUAGCGGUGAAAUGCGUAGAGAAUAGGAGGACACCAGUGGCGAAGGCGGGUUUUUUGGCCCUGUAACUGACAUUGAGGCGCGGAGAGCGUGGGGAGCAAACGGGAUUGUAUGCCCUGGUAGUCCGUGGGGUAUUCGACUGUUGGUGUUGGGCGUGUCGAUGCCGCGACCUCCAGGGGGGGCCUGAAACAAAAAUAUUUGUCCUUGGUGGGUGAUUU